AGUUUAGACUCGUAGCAGAUAGCUCAGUAACACGUGGCCAAACUACCCUAUGGAUCCGGACAACCUCGGGAAACUGAGGCUAAUCCGGAAUAGCGCUCUCAUCCUGGAGUGGAGAGAGCCUGAAACGCUCCGGCGCCAUAGGAUGUGGCUGCGGCCGAUUAGGUAGACGGUGGGGUAACGGCCCACCGUGCCAGUAAUCGGUACGGGUUGUGAGAGCAAGAGCCCGGAGACGGUAUCUGAGACAAGAUACCGGGCCCUACGGGGCGCAGCAGGCGCGAAACCUUUACACUGCACGCCAGUGCGAUAAGGGGACUCCAAGUGCGAGGGCAUAUAGUCCUCGCUUUUCACCACCGUAAGGUGGUGGUGGAAUAAGUGCUGGGCAAGACCGGUGCCAGCCGCCGCGGUAAUACCGGCAGCACAAGUGAUGACCGCUGUUAUUGGGCCUAAAGCGUCCGUAGCUGGCCAGGCAAGUCCAUCGGGAAAUCUCUCCGCUUAACGGAGAGGCGUCCGGUGGAAACUGCCUGGCUUGGGACCGGAAGACCAGAGGGGUACGUCUGGGGUAGGAGUGA
rnacentral:rRNA from 1 species